rnacentral:rRNA from 1 species
CUACGGGUUGCAGCAGUGAGGAAUAUUGCACAAUGGGGGGAACCCUGAUGCAGCAACGCCGCGUGGAGGAUGACGCAUUUCGGUGUGUAAACUCCUUUUAUAUGUCAAGAAAAUGACGGUAGCAUAUGAAUAAGCGCCGGCUAACUCCGUGCCAGCAGCCGCGGUAAUACGGAGGGCGCAAGCGUUACUCGGAAUCACUGGGCGUAAGGACGCGUAGGCGGGUUGAAAAGUCAGGUGUGAAAGCCUACAGCUUAACUGUAGAACUGCACUUGAAACUCUCAAUCUAGAGUAUGGGAGGGGCAGGUGGAAUUAGUGGUGUAGGGGUAAAAUCCGUAGAUAUCACUAGGAAUACCUAAAGCGAAGGCGAUCUGCUGGAACAUUACUGACGCUAAGGCGUGAAAGCGUGGGGAGCAAACAGGAUUAGAUACCCUCGUAGUC